rnacentral:lncRNA from 1 species
GCUGCUUCCACCUUUUGGCUCUGGUGAAUUAUGCUGCUACGAACACGGGAGAGGAAAACAGGGCACAAAGAGAUGAAGUCGACUGCUCAAGUCACCAGCCAGCAAGAGGCAGAGCCAGGAUUCGAACUUAGAACUUCAAGUCUAUGUUUAACUCCAGCCCCGGAGGGUGGAGGAGGGGAAAUGUUCUCAUGCCAUGAUCCAUCACAGUGUCUUCCACCAGCAGAGAGAAAGAGGAAUUGAAAGUAAAGAUUCAGGAAGAAUUGGUCUUCCUGAGAGAUGUCAGGCCCACUCUGGCUGAAGUCUUGUGGGGUUUAAGAAGCUGUGGGCCCCAAAAGGGGCUGGAGGGGGUGACUGGUCCUGAGAGGAGAAAGGGUGUAAUUCUGAAGCCAAGAGGGCUCCCGGAUGGGAAGCCCUCUUGGCAGCCUAGGUCUCUGCGGGUCCACUUGCUUUGGGAACCACAAAGCCAAAAUGUAAAGGAAUCUAUUUUCUAAGGAAAACACAUACUUAUACAUUCUGAGUAAUUUCCCGUGGAACAAGGAAAAAAUAAACACAACACCCCAAAUGGUUUUUUGCUUACAAAUGGGUUCAAGUAAAGAGAAGUGGGAGAAUAAAAUAUAGGGUCAGGGGAAAACUCUCUACUGAUUCCAAACCUCAGAAACAGCCUGGAGGCUUGAGAGAGUGGGAGAGACGGGGAGGGCUGGGGAGUGAGGUGCCCAGAGUCAGGGGCUUCCUGUCUCCUCUUCUAAGAGCUGCUUGCUCACCCUCAGAGGACCAGAGGAGGAGAAACUCUGGAAGCACAGCCAUAAGACCAGACUGGGUUUGACAGCCAAGGGAUUGUAUAAGUCAGCCACCAGAGGUGGUGCAGGUAGGUAAAGAUGAAAGCAAUGGUCCCAUUGUCAUCAGCUGGGUAGUCAGGGAAGAGUAGGUGGAUUAGGGGCCGGGGCCCAAAAACAGGAAAAUUAAGUGGAAAGCUGCAGAUCACAGGCAUCAUUCAAAGGAACUCAUCAAAGAAAAAAUGGUAAAGGACAGUGUAAUUGUGAACAAAUAACGUCACUUUCCUGGACCCCGCUGAGUCUCCCAUAUAAACAAUGGGGGUACACUAUUUGAUUUCUACCACUGAUAAUUCCAAAUUAGAUGAGGAGAUAACUGGGGGGACAGAGUUACAGAAUGGGGGAUGGGACUAGAGGAUGAGUACUGGGGCCUGAGGAUGGGUACUCGAGAGCCAAGAGAAUUUGGAACAGCUAAGAGUCAAUUUGCACUGCAAAUCAGACCCAGGGAGAACAUCCUGACUGGCAAGGGUCCCAGGUUAUUGAAAGUUUGG